rnacentral:rRNA from 1 species
CAGCAGCCGCGGUAAUACGUAGGUGGCAAGCGUUGGCCGGAAUUAUUGGGCGUAAAGGGCUCGCAGGCGGUUUCUUAAGUCUGAUGUGAAAGCCCCCGGCUCAACCGGGGAGGGUCAUUGGAAACUGGGAAACUUGAGUGCAGAAGAGGAGAGUGUAAUUCCACGUGUAGCGGUGAAAUGCGUAGAGAUGUGGAGGAACACCAGUGGCGAAGGCGACUCUCUGGUCUGUAACUGACGCUGAGGAGCGAAAGCGUGGGGAGCGAACAGGAUUAGAUACCUGUGUAGUCCCUGUCUCUUAUAC